rnacentral:rRNA from 1 species
GACAGAGGGUGCAAACGUUGCUCGGAAUUACUGGGCGUAAAGCGUGCGCAGGCGGUUAUGUAAGACAGAUGUGAAAUCCCCGGGCUCAACCUGGGAACUGCAUUUGUGACUGCAUAGCUAGAGUACGGUAGAGGGGGAUGGAAUUCCGCGUGUAGCAGUGAAAUGCGUAGAUAUGCGGAGGAACACCGAUGGCGAAGGCAAUCCCCUGGACCUGUACUGACGCUCAUGCACGAAAGCGUGGGGAGCAAACAGG